UUUUCAUAGCAUUCCAUCUCACUUGGAAUAAAAGCAAAAUCAUCAUAAUGCCCUGUAGGGUCUGACACCUUAGUACUACUCUCUGACUUCAACUCUUGCUCUCCCCCUUAUUUAUGUCCCUCCUGCCACACCACCUUGCUGUCCCUCAAACACCCAGCAUGUAUCUGCUUAGGUUCUUAUACCUGCUGUUCCCUCUGCAUAGAUCAUUCUUAUAUAUUCACAUGACUUCCUCCCUUUCUUCAGCUCUUAAUUAAAUGUUUUCAGUGGCACCUUCUCUGGCCACACUAUAAACUCAGCCCUCUCCACAUUUGCCUCAUUUUCUGUUUUAUUUUUCUUCAAAGUGCUUAUUACCAUCUAAUAUGUAAUUUAUCCUGUUCAUUGUCCUCCCCCAUUAAAAUAUAAACUGCAUGUAUUGUUCACUGCUGUGUCUUCAACACCUAGAAUCAUACCUGGCACAAAGUAGGCAUGUAAUAAAUAUUCAUUGAAUGGGUAAGCUGUUUAGAUAUAUACAUUAAGAGAAGAUAUCUGCCCUUGACCUUUACCAUGGUUGAGAGUGGCAGUCAUAUAACAUUAAUUGUGUUUUGGGCUGGGCAUGGUGAUGCAUGCCUGUAAUCCCAGUGACUGACAAGUGGCUGGAGCAGGAGGAUCACCAGUUCAAAGCUAGCCUCAGCAACUUAGUGAGACCAUGUCUCUAAAUAGAAUAUUAAAAAGGACUAGCUAGGGGCUGGGGUUGUGGCUCAGCAGUAAAGCACUCCUCGAACAUGUGGGGCACUGGGUUCCAUUCUCAGCACCACAUAAAUAUAAAUAAAUAAAUAAAGGUAUUAAAAAAAAAAACAGGGCUAGCUGAGGGCUGUGGUUGUGGCUUAGUGAUGGAGUGCUUGCCUAGCUUGUGUGAGGCCCUUGGCACCACAUGUAAGUAAAUAAAGUGAGGGUAUUGUGUCUACCUACAACUAAAAAAUACAAUUAAAAAUAGGGCUAGCUGGGAGCAGUGGUGCAUACCUGUAAUUCUAGCAGCUCAGGAGGCUGAGGCAGGAGGAUUUCAAAUUCAAAGCCAGACUUAGCAAUGGCAAGGUGCUAAACAACUUAGUGAGACCCUGUGUCUAAAUACAAAAUAGGGCUGGGGAU
rnacentral:lncRNA from 1 species